rnacentral:rRNA from 1 species
UACUUUUAGUUGCCACCAUUUAGUUGGGCACUUUAAAAGAACUGUCAGUGAUAAGCUGGAGGAAGGUGGGGAUGACGUCAAGUCCUCAUGGCCCUUACGUGUUGGGCUACACACGUGCUACAAUGGCACUUACAAUGGGAAGCAAAGAGGCGACUCCUAGCUAAUCCCUAAAAUGUGUCUCAGUUCGGAUUGUACUCUGUAACUCGAGUGCAUGAAGCUGGAAUUGCUAGUAAUCGUGGAUCAGCGCGCCGCGGUGAAUGCGUUC